rnacentral:rRNA from 1 species
GACGAACGCUGGCGGCGUGCUUAACACAUGCAAGUCGACAUAAGUGGCGAGCGGGUGAGUAAUACGUGGAUAGCCUGCCCUCCUUUUUGGAAUACGCCUUGGGAACGGGGUCUAAUCCCGAAUAAAGGGGGAUGGGGUAGCGGCCUGUCAGCUUGUUGGUGGGGUGCUGGCCUACCAAGGCGGUGACGGGUAGCGGGGCUGAGAGGGUGACCGGCAACAUUGGGACGGAGCAGCGGCCCAGGCGACUAAGGGGGGGAGCAGUGGGGGAUAUUGCCGAAUGGGCGAAAGCCUGAUGCAGCGAGUCUGAAUGGGGGAUGAAGGUUGUCAGGUUGUAAAAGUCUGUAGCUAUCGAACGGGUAGGUGGAGAAGAAGCGCCGGCUAACUACGUGCCAGCCGCCGCGGUAAUUC